CUUGUUUACGGUAAAUAUUCUGCACUUAAGUUGCUCAGUCACAAGCCAGCAUGCUGCUUCCAGCCCCCAAAGGAAAAACAAAACCUCUUUUACUUCUUUACCAGGCAGGGAUUUAUUUCCAUUUCUGCAGCUGAUUACUUGCAAGUGAAAAUGUGUUGGAGACCAUCUGAAUUCCUGGCCUGGACUUUAUUUCCCCCAGUUGUCAGUCAAUUUCAGUUGAUUUAACAUGAAUAGAACAGUAUCCCAAUGUACAGGUUUUGCCCAAAAAUAAGUGAUUUUCUGGGCCUAUCAUGCAUUUGAGAUAGUAUGCAAACUGGGCAAUAACAAAUUUGCCCUGCAGUCUGAUUCUUCUCUGGAACAUCCCUUCUCUUGCAUCGAUGAGGGUAGUGCCUAGACUGCACAGAGGGG